AGAGAAGGAGUAGCGCGUUCGUGCGUCCUAGUUCCAGUACAGCGUGGAGGGUUUAGGCAGCGUGUUCUGAUUCUUUGCGGGACGGCGAGCGCAUUUGUGCUUUGCCCGCCGCGGCCUAGGAGGCCUUUUGAGGCCGCGUAGUCGGUGUUUUUGAACUGACUCUACAGCUUCUGGCAGGCCGUGCGGCGCCCUGACCCGGCCUCACCAUGUUGGUGCUGUUUGAAACGUCUGUGGGUUACGCCAUCUUUAAGGUUCUAAAUGAGAAGAAACUUCAAGAGGUUGAUAGUUUAUGGAAAGAAUUUGAAACUCCAGAGAAAGCAAACAAAAUAGUAAAGCUAAAACAUUUUGAGAAAUUUCAGGAUACAGCAGAAGCAUUAGCAGGGCUGGUUUUCCCCAUGUGUGAGGAGAGGUGAGAAGUGGUUAAGUUGAUCUCCCUGUGGAAACCAGCAACAUAAUGCUGAAGCACAAUUCAGUAAAAGGUGUUCUACAAGGGACCAAGCAUUCACAGCUCUGAUGGAGGGCAAAAUCAAUAAGCAGCUGAAAAAAGUUCUGAAGAAAAUAGUAAAAGAAGCCCAUGAACCGCUGGCAGUAGCUGAUGCUAAACUAGGAGGGGUCAUAAAGGAAAAGCUGAAUCUCAGUUGUAUCCAUAGUCCUG
rnacentral:lncRNA from 1 species